rnacentral:rRNA from 1 species
GACGAACGCUGGCGGCGGGCUUAACACAUGCAAGUCGAACGGAAAGGCCCUGAGUGUGUGGGGUGAUCGAGGGGCGAACGGGUGAGUAACACGUGAGUAACCGGCCCUAGACUUUGGGAUAACUUCAGGAAACGGGGGCUAAGACCGGAUAGGAGCUCCUGCUGCAGGGAGGGGGGGGGAAAGUUUCAGCGGUUGGGGAUGGACGCGCGGCUGAUGAGCUUGUUGGUGGGGUAGGGGCUUACCAAGGCUUUGACGGGUAGCCGGCCUGAGAGGGUGACCGGCCACCUUGGGACUGCGAUAGGCCCCAGUGUCCUACGGGAGGCAGCAGUGGGGAAUCUUGCCCAACGGGAGGGCGCCUGUUGCGGCAACGCCCCGUGCGGGAUGCCGUCCUUCGGGUUGUAAACCGCUUUCGCCUGUGACGACGCGUUAGUGACGGUAAUCGGUAAAGAAGCACCGGCUAACUACGUG